rnacentral:rRNA from 1 species
GACAAACGCUGGCGGCGUACUUAAGACAUGCAAGUCGAACGGGUGUCCUGCUUUCGGGUGGGAUGCUAGUGGCGGAUGGGUGAGUAACGCGUAGGAACCUGUCGUUAAGUGGGGGAUACCGCUGGGAAACCGGCGCUAAUACCGCAUGUGGUCGAGCGAUCGAAGAAAGCAGCAAUGCGCUUGAUGAGGGCCUGCGUCCGAUUAGCUAGUUGGUGGGUAAAGCCUACAAGGCGCGAUCGGUAGCUGGUCUGAGAGGAUGGUCAGCCACACUGGGACUGAGACACGGCCCAGACUCC